AUACUCUGGUUUCUCUUCAGAUCGUAUAAAUCUUUCGCCUUUUACUAAAGAUUUCUGUGGAGAGGAACAUUUAUGAGUUUGUAUCUCUUGAUUUAUUAACAUCAGUUCUACUUCAAACAUGG
rnacentral:snRNA from 1 species